GACGAACGCUGGCGGCGUGCCUAAUACAUGCAAGUCGAGCGAGACUCUUCGGAGUCUAGCGGCGGACGGGUGAGUAACACGUGGGCAACCUGCCUGUAAGACUGGGAUAACACCGGGAAACCGGUGCUAAUACCGGAUAAUCCUUUUUCUCUCAUGAGGAAAAGCUGAAAGUCGGUUUCGGCUGACACUUACAGAUGGGCCCGCGGCGCAUUAGCUAGUUGGUAGGUUAACGGCUCACAAAGGCGACGAUGCGUAGCCGACCUGAGAGGGUGAUCGGCCACACUGGGACUGAGACACGGCCCAGACUCCUACGGGAGGCAGCAGUAGGGAAUCUUCCACAAUGGACGAAAGUCUGAUGGAGCAACGCCGCGUGAGCGAUGAAGGCCUUCGGGUCGUAAAGCUCUGUUGUUAGGGAAGAACAAGUACCGGAGUAACUGCCGGUACCUUGACGGUACCUAACCAGAAAGCCACGGCUAACUACGUGCCAGCAGCCGCCGUAACAC
rnacentral:rRNA from 1 species